CUGGCAAUGGCAGCGCGCAGCCCCCAGAAUAUGGUAGAGCUUGACAACCGGCUCCUCCUCCCCCGAAUCCGAUCUGAACUCUGUACCGCCGUGGCAGUGGCACUGGCAGCAGCCGCGGAAUCCGGGCGACAGGGCGAUCGAAAAAUGCUGACGUGGCAGUUGACCAUGGGGCAAAAUGUCAAAAGCAUGUGGCGCGGAAUCGUGCGCGCGGCUUCCCGUUCCUCGCGAAUCCCAACUCAAUCUCUCCGCACUGCGAGCCUAGACACGCGCCUCUUCCCUUCCUGGCGAGUCUCCGCAUUGCUAUGGCUAAAGCGGUGGUCCGGUGGUGCCCGUGAGGUGUUCGGCGUAUUGCGCCACUCGACCAGGAUGGCCUCUGAUGGCAGGUGUAGACGGGCGUCGUCCGUCAUGAGACCUGUGUUCUUGCAGCUGUCCAUGUGGGAUCUGGUGCUCAUCAGUUCACUUUACACAACUCCUUUCAUCUAGGAUGCACAAUGGUAUAAGGAGACGUUUCAAUCCUGAUGUAAGCUUAGUUAUUACAACCACUUCAAGUGUGUCAAGAAACCAGCAUUGUUAAUGGGCUCCAACAGAACAAGCUUUAUUGCUUCAAAGUUGUUCAGUUUUACAUAACCAGAUUAUUAGAAAAGAUUUGGAGUUCCUUCUUUUUUAACAAAAUAGCAUGGAGUUCAUUAUCCUGCAAUUGAGGCUCGACCAGACUGAAGAAAGCAAAUAACUGUUUAUUAUCACUUUGAUUAUUUAAUUACAUAUUUACGUGCCUAAGUAAGAACACAAAUAGACUAUUGGAGGAUAGUGACCGAGAUUGUUCACUGUAUGCAAUUUAAACUCAAUUGGUGAGGAAUGACCAAGACAUUUUUUUUUCUCGAA